rnacentral:rRNA from 1 species
CUGAGGCGUGAUGACGAGGCACUACGGUGCUGAAGCAACAAAUGCCCUGCUUCCAGGAAAAGCCUCUAAGCAUCAGGUAACAUCAAAUCGUACCCCAAACCGACACAGGUGGUCAGGUAGAGAAUACCAAGGCGCUUGAGAGAACUCGGGUGAAGGAACUAGGCAAAAUGGUGCCGUAACUUCGGGAGAAGGCACGCUGACACGUAGGUGAAGUGAUUUACUCACGGAGCUGAAGUCAGUCGAAGAUACCAGCUGGCUGCAACUGUUUAUUAAAAACACAGCACUGUGCAAACACGAAAGUGGACGUAUACGGUGUGACGCCUGCCCGGUGCCGGAAGGUUAAUUGAUGGGGUCAGCGCAAGCGAAGCUCCUGAUCGAAGCCCCGGUAAACGGCGGCCGUAACUAUAACGGUCCUAAGGUAGCGAAAUUCCUUGUCGGGUAAGUUCCGACCUGCACGAAUGGCGUAAUGAUGGCCAGGCUGUCUCCACCCGAGACUCAGUGAAAUUGAACUCGCUGUGAAGAUGCAGUGUACCCGCGGCAAGACGGAAAGACCCCGUGAACCUUUACUAUAGCUUGACACUGAACAUUGAGCCUUGAUGUGUAGGAUAGGUGGGAGGCUUUGAAGUGUGGACGCCAGUCUGCAUGGAGCCGACCUUGAAAUACCACCCUUUAAUGUUUGAUGUUCUAACGUGGACCCGUAAUCCGGGUUGCGGACAGUGUCUGGUGGGUAGUUUGACUGGGGCGGUCUCCUCCUAAAGAGUAACGGAGGAGCACGAAGGUUGGCUAAUCCUGGUCGGACAUCAGGAGGUUAGUGCAAUGGCAUAAGCCAGCUUGACUGCGAGCGUGACGGCGCGAGCAGGUGCGAAAGCAGGUCAUAGUGAUCCGGUGGUUCUGAAUGGAAGGGCCAUCGCUCAACGGAUAAAAGGUACUCCGGGGAUAACAGGCUGAUACCGCCCAAGAGUUCAUAUCGACGGCGGUGUUUGGCACCUCGAUGUCGGCUCAUCACAUCCUGGGGCUGAAGUAGGUCCCAAGGGUAUGGCUGUUCGCCAUUUAAAGUGGUACGCGAGCUGGGUUUAGAACGUCGUGAGACAGUUCGGUCCCUAUCUGCCGUGGGCGCUGGAGAACUGAGGGGGGCUGCUCCUAGUACGAGAGGACCGGAGUGGACGCAUCACUGGUGUUCGGGUUGUCAUGCCAAUGGCACUGCCCGGUAGCUAAAUGCGGAAGAGAUAAGUGCUGAAAGCAUCUAAGCACGAAACUUGCCCCGAGAUGAGUUCUCCCUGAGACUUUAGGUCUCCUGAAGGAACGUUGAAGACGACGACGUUGAUAGGCCGGGUGUGUAAGCGCAGCGAUGCGUUGAGCUAACCGGUACUAAUGAACCGUGAGGCUUAACCUUACAACGCCGAAG